rnacentral:lncRNA from 1 species
CCCGUGAGCCUCCUUGCAGGAUGCAGCCACUCAAGGCCAAUCACGAAGAUUGUUCUCCCUAAGUUACUUCAGCUGAAUCAAAAUUUGAUUUCCAAACACUAUCAGGCAGUAGAAAAAGAAUUUGAAGAUUUAGAUGAAAGGAACUUCUGAUGCCUCCUCCAGGAAAAUAUGUACUUCAUUUUAAAGAGGUGAGAAAGCUUACAUUGUUUUAAAGAGUUUUUUUUUUUUAAGGUAAUGCUGUUGUACUGUC